UAGGAUUUUAAUUAUUUUGUCAGGAAUGAACUAAUUUGGCACAUUUCCCAGAAGGAGCCUGUGCUUGUAAAUUGCAUGUGGUUGCAUGCUGAAUUCUGCAUCCCAAUGUAAAAGACGGAGAUCACCAAGGUCAGCCCUGAUUUGCAGCCUUUGCUCUUUCCUGUCCGUGCUGGUUCAGGAAAACAUUCAUCAUCGCGGUGACUUCCUUGUAACCUUUCCAAGUUCUUCACGUUCCUCAUUUGUUCAGACUGGACAGUUCUCUGGUGAGAGUCUGGCCAGACAUCUUGUCUCUUUAACCACCCAAUGAGGUGUAUCACCACCGGUUUCCUCCUUGCCUUCAGCCCUCUUAGUUGCUCACAAGACACACGUGGAUAGGCAGCUGAUACUUAAAAACUCUGAUCUGGGAUUCUUUCCAGAAAUGCCUACAGCGGUCAGUGUGUAGAAAUCAGCAUACAUUGAACAGGAAGCGAUGAGAUUCCUGGGAUGUGCUGCCCAGAUUCCUCCUCGGGCUGGAAGGAUUUCUUCUCUCAGCUGCUGGAAGUGUUAUCCACCAGAAGAGAAGUUUCUACAUCAUUGGAUGUGAAUGAGGAACGUGCAUGGAGCCUUUGAUGAGGAAAGACGCUUGCUGAGAUCACAGCUGACCUGGGAAGGAGAAGGCGAGAAAUAAUCACAAGAUUUGACCUACUGGCUCACACUACACCUGCCCAGCCACAUCGGAAGACAGCCUUCCCCUGGAUUUCCCAAUUUGUGAGCCAAUAUGUUUACUCUUAGGCUAGUUGACUUCAAGUUCCCCAUCUGUAAAAUGGCAUUAAUGAUACUGCAGCCUACCUUAUGGGGAUGUUUUAGAGAAUAAACCAUCAAUGCAUUCAGCACAUAGAAAGUGCUCCACAAAUGUUACUGAUUUUUUUUUUUUUAAGACAGGGUCUUGCUCUGUUGUCCAGAAUGAAGUGCAGAGUGUUGUCCGGGCUGGAGUGCAGUGGCGAGAUCAUAGCUCACUGCAGCCUCAACCUCCCAGGCUCAAGUGAUCCUCCUGCCUCAGCCUCCUGAAUGAGUAGCUAGGACUAUAGGUGUGUGCCACUAAGCCUGGCUAAUUUUUUGUAGAAAUGAG
rnacentral:lncRNA from 1 species